rnacentral:rRNA from 1 species
CCUACGGGAGGCAGCAGUGGGGAAUAUUGCACAAUGGGGGAAACCCUGAUGCAGCAACGCCGCGUGAGCGAUGAAGGCCUUCGGGUCGUAAAGCUCUGUCCUAAGGGAAGAAUAUUGACGGUACCUUAGGAGGAAGCCCCGGCUAACUACGUGCCAGCAGCCGCGGUAAUACGUAGGGGGCAAGCGUUAUCCGGAAUCACUGGGUGUAAAGGGUGCGUAGGCGGUAGGGCAAGUCAGGGGUGAAAGGCUACGGCUCAACCGUAGUAAGCCCUUGGAACUGAUUGGCUUGAGUGCAGGAGAGGAGAGUGGAAUUCCUAGUGUAGCGGUGAAAUGCGUAGAUAUUAGGAGGAACACCAGUGGCGAAGGCGACUCUCUGGACUGUAACUGACGCUGAGGCACGAAAGCGUGGGGAGCAAACAGGAUUAGAUACCCGAGUAGUC